AAGCGUCGUAGUUGAAUUUCGGGGUUAGUAGGUUGGUCAUGCCUCUGGUAUGUACUGGUCUCACUGAUUCCUCCUUCCUUAUGAACCGUAAUGCCAUUAAUUUGGUGUUGCGGGGAAUUUGGACUGUUACUUUGAAAAAAUUAGAGUGUUUAAAGCAAGCUAACGCUUGAAUACAUUAGCAUGGAAUAAUGAAAUAGGACGUUCGAUCCUAUUUUGUUGGUUUCUAGGACUGACGUAAUGAUUAAUAGGGAUAGUUGGG
rnacentral:rRNA from 1 species